UUGUACAAGUUUUCGUUUGAUUUUUCCUUUUAUUGUUAUUAUUGCUGUUGUUGUUGUCUGUUGUUGUCGGAUGGAUGGAUAAUCACAGCUCGCAACCAAAAAAUUAAAUCAGCCAAGGUUAUCGCAUUAAUAAGCCCCCUGGUUCUGCUCUUUUGGUUUUUACAGCUUCAGUUUUGAGUUUUUAGUUUCAGUUUCACUGAACUUUUGGGGUCAGUAGACUGAUUUAAAUCAAAGCUAUAAUUGAGCCUCGCCUGAGAAGCCAGAACCGAACGCGGUCCACGAGGUGCCGCGAAUACCAAUCUGGGGGUCU